rnacentral:rRNA from 1 species
GGUUAAGCGACUAAGCGUACACGGUGGAUGCCCUGGCAGUCAGAGGCGAUGAAGGACGUGCUAAUCUGCGAUAAGCGUCGGUAAGGUGAUAUGAACCGUUAUAACCGGCGAUUUCCGAAUGGGGAAACCCAGUGUGUUUCGACACACUAUCAUUAACUGAAUCCAUAGGUUAAUGAGGCGAACCGGGGGAACUGAAACAUCUAAGUACCCCGAGGAAAAGAAAUCAACCGAGAUUCCCCCAGUAGCGGCGAGCGAACGGGGAGGAGCCCAGAGCCUGAAUCAGUGUGUGUGUUAGUGGAAGCGUCUGGAAAGGCGCGCGAUACAGGGUGACAGCCCCGUACACAAAAAUGCACAUACUGUGAGCUCGAUGAGUAGGGCGGGACACGUGGUAUCCUGUCUGAAUAUGGGGGGACCAUCCUCCAAGGCUAAAUACUCCUGACUGACCGAUAGUGAACCAGUACCGUGAGGGAAAGGCGAAAAGAACCCCGGCGAGGGGAGUGAAAAAGAACCUGAAACCGUGUACGUACAAGCAGUGGGAGCCUCUUUAUGGGGUGACUGCGUACCUUUUGUAUAAUGGGUCAGCGACUUAUAUUCUGUAGCAAGGUUAACCGAAUAGGGGAGCCGAAGGGAAACCGAGUCUUAACUGGGCGUUAAGUUGCAGGGUAUAGACCCGAAACCCGGUGAUCUAGCCAUGGGCAGGUUGAAGGUUGGGUAACACUAACUGGAGGACCGAACCGACUAAUGUUGAAAAAUUAGCGGAUGACUUGUGGCUGGGGGUGAAAGGCCAAUCAAACCGGGAGAUAGCUGGUUCUCCCCGAAAGCUAUUUAGGUAGCGCCUCGUGAAUUCAUCUCCGGGGGUAGAGCACUGUUUCGGCAAGGGGGUCAUCCCGACUUACCAACCCGAUGCAAACUGCGAAUACCGGAGAAUGUUAUCACGGGAGACACACGGCGGGUGCUAACGUCCGUCGUGAAGAGGGAAACAACCCAGACCGCCAGCUAAGGUCCCAAAGUCAUGGUUAAGUGGGAAACGAUGUGGGAAGGCCCAGACAGCCAGGAUGUUGGCUUAGAAGCAGCCAUCAUUUAAAGAAAGCGUAAUAGCUCACUGGUCGAGUCGGCCUGCGCGGAAGAUGUAACGGGGCUAAACCAUGCACCGAAGCUGCGGCAGCGACACUAUGUGUUGUUGGGUAGGGGAGCGUUCUGUAAGCCUGUGAAGGUGGCCUGUGAGGGUUGCUGGAGGUAUCAGAAGUGCGAAUGCUGACAUAAGUAACGAUAAAGCGGGUGAAAAGCCCGCUCGCCGGAAGACCAAGGGUUCCUGUCCAACGUUAAUCGGGGCAGGGUGAGUCGACCCCUAAGGCGAGGCCGAAAGGCGUAGUCGAUGGGAAACAGGUUAAUAUUCCUGUACUUGGUGUUACUGCGAAGGGGGGACGGAGAAGGCUAUGUUGGCCGGGCGACGGUUGUCCCGGUUUAAGCGUGUAGGCUGGUUUUCCAGGCAAAUCCGGAAAAUCAAGGCUGAGGCGUGAUGACGAGGCACUACGGUGCUGAAGCAACAAAUGCCCUGCUUCCAGGAAAAGCCUCUAAGCAUCAGGUAACAUCAAAUCGUACCCCAAACCGACACAGGUGGUCAGGUAGAGAAUACCAAGGCGCUUGAGAGAACUCGGGUGAAGGAACUAGGCAAAAUGGUGCCGUAACUUCGGGAGAAGGCACGCUGAUAUGUAGGUGAAGCGACUUGCUCGUGGAGCUGAAAUCAGUCGAAGAUACCAGCUGGCUGCAACUGUUUAUUAAAAACACAGCACUGUGCAAACACGAAAGUGGACGUAUACGGUGUGACGCCUGCCCGGUGCCGGAAGGUUAAUUGAUGGGGUCAGCGCAAGCGAAGCUCUUGAUCGAAGCCCCGGUAAACGGCGGCCGUAACUAUAACGGUCCUAAGGUAGCGAAAUUCCUUGUCGGGUAAGUUCCGACCUGCACGAAUGGCGUAAUGAUGGCCAGGCUGUCUCCACCCGAGACUCAGUGAAAUUGAACUCGCUGUGAAGAUGCAGUGUACCCGCGGCAAGACGGAAAGACCCCGUGAACCUUUACUAUAGCUUGACACUGAACAUUGAGCCUUGAUGUGUAGGAUAGGUGGGAGGCUUUGAAGUGUGGACGCCAGUCUGCAUGGAGCCGACCUUGAAAUACCACCCUUUAAUGUUUGAUGUUCUAACGUUGGCCCCUGAUCGGGGUUGCGGACAGUGUCUGGUGGGUAGUUUGACUGGGGCGGUCUCCUCCUAAAGAGUAACGGAGGAGCACGAAGGUUGGCUAAUCCUGGUCGGACAUCAGGAGGUUAGUGCAAUGGCAUAAGCCAGCUUGACUGCGAGCGUGACGGCGCGAGCAGGUGCGAAAGCAGGUCAUAGUGAUCCGGUGGUUCUGAAUGGAAGGGCCAUCGCUCAACGGAUAAAAGGUACUCCGGGGAUAACAGGCUGAUACCGCCCAAGAGUUCAUAUCGACGGCGGUGUUUGGCACCUCGAUGUCGGCUCAUCACAUCCUGGGGCUGAAGUAGGUCCCAAGGGUAUGGCUGUUCGCCAUUUAAAGUGGUACGCGAGCUGGGUUUAGAACGUCGUGAGACAGUUCGGUCCCUAUCUGCCGUGGGCGCUGGAGAACUGAGGGGGGCUGCUCCUAGUACGAGAGGACCGGAGUGGACGCAUCACUGGUGUUCGGGUUGUCAUGCCAAUGGCACUGCCCGGUAGCUAAAUGCGGAAGAGAUAAGUGCUGAAAGCAUCUAAGCACGAAACUUGCCCCGAGAUGAGUUCUCCCUGACUCCUUGAGAGUCCUGAAGGAACGUUGAAGACGACGACGUUGAUAGGCCGGGUGUGUAAGCGCAGCGAUGCGUUGAGCUAACCGGUACUAAUGAACCGUGAGGCUUAACCUU